UACGGGGGGGGCAAGCGUUGUUCGGAAUUACUGGGCGUAAAGGGCGCGUAGGCGGCCUGCUAAGUCGGAUGUGAAAUCCCUCGGCUCAACCGAGGAACUGCAUCCGAUACUGGCGGGCUUGAAUCCGGGAGAGGGAUGUGGAAUUCCAGGUGUAGCGGUGAAAUGCGUAGAUAUCUGGAGGGACACCGGUGGCGAAGGCGGCAUCCUGGACCGGUAUUGACGCUGAGGCGCGAAAGCUAGGGGAGCAAACAGG
rnacentral:rRNA from 1 species